rnacentral:rRNA from 1 species
GAGUUUGAUCCUGGCUCAGAUUGAACGCUAGCGGCAUGCCUUACACAUGCAAGUCGAACGGCAGCGCGGACUUCGGUCUGGCGGCGAGUGGCGAACGGGUGAGUAAAGCAUCGGAACGUGCCCAGUAGCGGGGGAUAACUACGCGAAAGCGUAGCUAAUACCGCAUACGCCCUACGGGGGAAAGGGGGGGAUCGCAAGACCUCUCACUAUUGGAGCGGCCGAUGUCGGAUUAGCUAGUUGGUGGGGUAAAGGCUCACCAAGGCGACGAUCCGUAGCUGGCUUGAGAGGACGACCAGCCACACUGGGACUGAGACACGGCCCAGACUCCUACGGGAGGCAGCAGUGGGGAAUUUUGGACAAUGGGGGAAACCCUGAUCCAGCCAUGCCGCGUGUGUGAAGAAGGCCUUCGGAUUGUAAGCACUUUUGGCGGGAAAGAAACGGCCUCGGAUAAUACCCGGGGUAACUGACGGUACCCGCAGAAUAAGCACCGGCUAACUACGUGCCAGCAGCCGCGGUAAUACGUAGGGUGCAAGCGUUAAUCGGAAUUACUGGGCGUAAAGCGUGCGCAGGCGGUUCGGAAAGAAAGAUGUGAAAUCCCAGGGCUUAACCUUGGAACUGCAUUUUUAACUCCCGAACUAGAGUAUGUCAGAGGGGGGUGGAAUUCCACGUGUAGCAGUGAAAUGCGUAGAUAUGUGGAGGAACACCGAUGGCGAAC